UACGUAGGUGGCAAGCGUUGUCCGGAUUUAUUGAGCGUAAAGCGAGCGCAGGCGGUUUCUUAAGUCUGAUGUAAAAGGCAGUGGCUCAACCAUUGUGUGCAUUGGAAACUGGGAGACUUGAGUGCAGGAGAGGAGAGUGGAAUUCCAUGUGUAGCGGUGAAAUGCGUAGAUAUAUGGAGGGACACCGGAGGCGAAAGCGGCUCUCUGGCCUGUAACUGACACUGAGGCUCGAAAGCGUGGGGAGCAAACA
rnacentral:rRNA from 1 species